rnacentral:rRNA from 1 species
GACGAACGCUGGCGGCGUGCUUAACACAUGCAAGUCGAACGAAGUGGCGAACGGGUGAGUAACGCGUAAUCAACCUGCCCUUCUGAGGGGGACAACAGUUGGAAACGACUGCUCAUACCGCAUACUGAAGGAGGGGCUUGCGUGUGAUUAGCUGGUUGGGGGGGUAACGGCCCACCAAGGCGCUGAUCAGUAGCCGGUCUGGGAGGAUGAACGGGCACAUUGGGGCUGGGGCACGGCCCAGACUCCUACGGGGGGCAGCAGUGGGGAAUCUUCCGCAAUGGACGAAAGUCUGACGGGGCAACGCCGCGUGGGUGAUGACGGCCUUCGGGUUGUAAAGCUCUGUUAAUCGGGACGCGGUACCGGAAUAGAAAGCCACGGCUAACUACGUGCCAGCAGCCGCGGUAAUUC